AUUUUUUUAAAUCAAGUACUUCAGUACUUUCACUUAAGUACAAUUUUGAAUAUGCAACUUUUACUUGUAUCGGAGUAACAUUUGACCAGUAGUAUCUGUACUUUGACUUAAGUACUGAAAUUGAGUACUUCGCCCACCUCUGUUUGUGGGUCUUUGUUG